AGAGUUUGAUCCUGGCUCAGGAUGAACGCUAGCGGCAGGCCUAAUACAUGCAAGUCGAACGGGGCAGCAAUGCCUAGUGGCGCACGGGUGCGUAACGCGUAUGCAACCUACCUUUCAGUGGGGGAUAGCCCGGGGAAACCCGGAUUAAUACCGCAUAAUAUAGUUGAAUGGCAUCAUUUGAUUAUUAAACAUUUAUGGCUGAAAGAUGGGCAUGCGUUAGAUUAGCUAGUUGGUGAGGUAGCAGCUCACCAAGGCGAUGAUCUAUAGGGGUUCUGAGAGGAAGAUCCCCCACACUGGUACUGAGAUACGGACCAGACUCCUACGGGAGGCAGCAGUAGGGAAUAUUGGGCAAUGCUCGCAAGAGUGACCCAGCCAUGCCGCGUGCAGGAAGAAGGCCUUCUGGGUUGUAAACUGCUUUUGGAAGGGAACAAAACGGGCAUGCGUGCCAAUUUGAGUGUACCUUCAGAAUAAGCACCGGCUAACUCCGUGCCAGCAGCCGCGGUAAUACGGAGGGUGCAAGCGUUGUCCGGAUUUAUUGGGUUUAAAGGGUGCGUAGGCGGCUUAUUAAGUCAGGGGUGAAAGACUGCAGCUCAACUGUAGCAGUGCCUUUGAUACUGAUGAGCUUGAGUACAGAUGAGGCUGGCGGAAUGGGUGGUGUAGCGGUGAAAUGCAUAGAUACCAUCCAGAACACCGAUUGCGAAGGCAGCCGGCUAAACUGUAACUGACGCUGAGGCACGAAAGCGUGGGGAUCGAACAGGAUUAGAUACCCUAGUAGUCC
rnacentral:rRNA from 1 species